UACGGAGGGUGCGAGCGUUAAUCGGAAUUACUGGGCGUAAAGCGCACGCAGGUGGUUUGUUAAGCUAGAUGUGAAAGCCCAGGGCUCAACCUUGGAAUAGCAUUUAGAACUGGCAGGCUAGAGUCUUGGAGAGGGGAGUGGAAUUCCAGGUGUAGCGGUGAAAUGCGUAGAGAUCUGGAGGAACAUCAGUGGCGAAGGCGACUCCCUGGCCAAAGACUGACACUCAUGUGCGAAAGUGUGGGUAGCGAACAGG
rnacentral:rRNA from 1 species